AAUAGAUACCCCGGUAGUCCACGCCGUAAACGAUGGAUACUAGCUGUUCGGUCGCAAGAUUGAGUGGCUAAGCGAAAGUGAUAAGUAUCCCACCUGGGGAGUACGAACGCAAGUUUGAAACUCAAAGGAAUUGACGGGGGCCCGCACAAGCGGUGGAGCAUGUGGUUUAAUUCGAUGAUACGCGAGGAACCUUACCAAGGCUUAAAUGUAUAUUGACAGGACUGGAAACAGUUUUUUCUUCGGACAAUUUACAAGGUGCUGCAUGGUUGUCGUCAGCUCGUGCCGUGAGGUGUCAGGUUAAGUCCUAUAACGAGCGCAACCCCUGUUGUUAGUUGCCAGCGAGUCAAGUCGGGAACUCUAACAAGACUGCCAGUGUAAACUGUGAGGAAGUGGGGAUGACGUCAAAUCAUCACGGCCCUUACGCCUUGGGCUACACACGUGCUACAAUGGCCGGUACAGAGAGCAGCCACUGCGCGAGCAGGAGCGAAUCUAUAAAACCCGGUCACAGUUCGGAUCGGAGUCUGCAACUCGACUCCG
rnacentral:rRNA from 1 species